rnacentral:rRNA from 1 species
GUGCCAGCAGCCGCGGUAAGACGUAGGGGGCCAGCGUUGCUCGGAAUUACUGGGCGUAAAGGGUUCGUAGGCGGUGUGGCAAGUCGGAAGUGAAAUCUCCAGGCUUAACUUGGAGGCUGCUCCCGAAACUGCCAUGCUAGAGUGCGGGAGAGGCGAGUGGAAUUGCAGGUGUAGCGGUGAAAUGCGUAGAUAUCUGCAGGAACACCCGUGGCGAAGGCGGCUCGCUGGACCGCAACUGACGCUGAGGAACGAAAGCUAGGGGAGCAAACAGGAUUAGAAACCCCCGUAGUCC